AACGAACGCUGGCGGCAGGCCUAACACAUGCAAGUCGAACGCGCGUAGCAAUACGCGAGUGGCGCACGGGUGAGUAACACGUGGGAACCAACCCAGAGGUUCGGAAUAACCGCGGGGAACUGCGGCUAAUACCGGAUAUCCCCUACGGGGGAAAGAUUUAUCGCCUCUGGACGGGCCCGCGUCCGAUUAGCUAGUUGGUGAGGUAAUGGCUCACCAAGGCGACGAUCGGUAGCUGGUCUGAGAGGACGACCAGCCACACUGGAACUGAGACACGGUCCAGACUCCUACGGGAGGCAGCAGUGGGGAAUAUUGGGCAAUGGAGGCAACUCUGACCCAGCCAUGCCGCGUGGGUGACGAAGGUCUUCGGAUUGUAAAGCCCUUUCGGCGGGGACGAUGAUGACGGUACCCGCAGAAGAAGCCCCGGCUAACUUCGUGCCAGCCGCCGCGGUAAC
rnacentral:rRNA from 1 species